rnacentral:tRNA from 1 species
GCGAGAGUAGUUCAGUGGCUAGAACGUCUCCUUGCCAAGGAGAAGGUCGGGGGUUCGACUCCCCUCUCUCGCUCCA